GUAUGUACCAUAUCAACAGUUAGUCGAUACACCGGCAUGGACCGGUAAGGUGGACCAUGAUAUGCACUAUAUUAUCUCAUAUGUUGAUACAUCAAGCGGUUCUUCAAAGAUCACCAACACAAUGUUUUUCUCUCUUUUUUUUUAUUCUUUUAUUACAUUCAUUAUUAGAGCAAAAUCUGCACAUACAUGUAUGAUUCUUGGGAUCAAACAUGUUGCUAAGCCUUUUAUGUUCAUAGAAGUAAUUCAAGUAUUUUUGGUCAAGAGUAUAGCUCAGGUAUCAAUUGUCCUAAUGAUUGUAAAUUAUUUGUUUUUUUAUGAAUAAAUUUGAUUUCUUGUAAUCGUAAAGGGGAUUGAUUGUAAAAGGUAUUGGUUUUGACUCAUUCGGUACUGCAACAUCCAAAGAAAAAGGUAGUACGAUCAUACGGGAUUCUUGAAUAGUUUCCUCCUUGCCAAAGAAUCGAGCAUAUGGCGUAAGGGCGACCCUUAUCGGCGACCCUCCCCAAAGCUAUGUUGCUCUCUCCCUCGGCAUUGCUAGAGGGGGAGGAGAUGCCGGCCUUCGUCAGCCUUCUUUCAAACGGCAAAAUUUUAUCACCAAGAAGGCUAAGUGUUGUGGUUGUUGCAGUGCAUGCCAACUCCUCCCCUGCUGACAUCUUUGUGCAUGCAAGCAAUUCAAAGAUUCUUUGUUGGCCUGGAGAUACCUACGUUGACCUACCAUAAGUUGACAAGCCAUUGAGAAUAUUGAUCUUCCCUCUGUGGCUUGGAGCAAAUAGGUAGAGUGAAGGUUCUCUUUUGAGAAUAUACCAAAAGAACUUAUGGAAGAAGUAUCAACAACAGCAAUAAGAACUUUCUGCUCUUCAGGUAGAUUCACAUGGAUUGACUGAAA